rnacentral:rRNA from 1 species
CCUACGGGAGGCAGCAGUGGGGAAUAUUGGACAAUGGGGGCAACCCUGAUCCAGCCAUGCCGCGUGUGUGAAGAAGGCCCUCGGGUUGUAAAGCACUUUCAGUGAGGAAGAACGCCUGGUGGUUAAUACCCAUCAGGAAAGACAUCACUCACAGAAGAAGCACCGGCUAACUCCGUGCCAGCAGCCGCGGUAAUACGGAGGGUGCGAGCGUUAAUCGGAAUUACUGGGCGUAAAGCGCGCGUAGGUGGCUUGAUAAGCCGGUUGUGAAAGCCCCGGGCUCAACCUGGGAACGGCAUCCGGAACUGGCAAGCUAGAGUGCAGGAGAGGAAGGUAGAAUUCCCGGUGUAGCGGUGAAAUGCGUAGAGAUCGGGAGGAAUACCAGUGGCGAAGGCGGCCUUCUGGACUGACACUGACGCUGAGGUGCGAAAGCGUGGGUAGCAAACAGGAUUAGAUACCCCGGUAGUC